rnacentral:rRNA from 1 species
AGGGCGUAUAGUCGGCAGUGGCAGACGCGAAACCAAGUGAUCUACCCUUGGCCAGGUUGAAGGCUGGGUAACACCAGCUGGAGGACCGCACCAAUAAGCGUUGAAAAGCUUCUGGAUGAGCUGAGGGUAGGGGUGAAAGGCUAAUCAAACUUGGAGAUAGCUCGUACUCCCCGAAAUGCAUUUAGGUGCAGCCUUGCGGGUUACUGAUGUGAGGUAGAGCGACUGAUAAGAUGCGAGGGCUUCACCGCCUAUCAAGUCUUGACAAACUCCGAAUGCGCAUCAGUUCUACCGCAGGAGUGAGGGCAUGGGUGCUAAGGUCCGUGCCCGAGAGGAGAAGAAUCCGGACCACCUGCUAAGGUCCCGAAAUGACAGCUAAGUUAAACUAACGAAGUCUGACUGCUAAGACAGCUAGGAUGUUGGCUUGGAAGCAGCCAUUCAUUUAAAGAGUGCGUAACAGCUCACUAGUCGAGGAGUCGGGCGUGGAUAAUAAUCGGGUAUUAAGUUGUCUACCGAAGCAGUGGGAUCAUUUAUAUGAUCGGUAGGGGAGCAUUCCAGUCAGCGUCGAAGGCGUACCGUGAGGUAUUCUGGAGCGUCUGGAAAAGCAAAUGUAGGUAUAAGUAACGAUAAAGGGGGCGGGAAACCCCCUCGCCGAAAGACUAAGGUUUCCUGAUCAACGCUAAUCGGAUCAGGGUCAGUCGGGUCCUAAGGCUCAGCCGAACGGCGAUGCCGAUGGCAGAAACGGUUAAUAUUCCGUUACUACCUUCAGGAGUGACGUGGAGACGCAGUAGUGACAGUGCCGCCAUCUGACGGAAUAGAUGGUUGAAGGGUGUAGGAGUCGAUCAUGGCAGGCAAAUCCACCAUGAGAUCCGAACCUGAGAGUAUGCCGCGUCCUUCGGGACAAGGCAAUAGUGCGCGUAAGCAUGCUGCCGAGAAAAUCCGCUAAACUUAAUCCUGCAGGUACCCGUACCGCAAACGGACACACGUAGUCGGGAUGAAUAUUCUAAGGCGCUUGAGUGAUUCACGGUUAAGGAACUAGGCAAACUGACCCUGUAACUUCGGGAUAAAGGGUCCCUACCCUUUUAUGGGAGGGCGCAGAGAAUCGGUCCAGGCAACUGUUUAACAAAAACACAGGGCUGUGCCAAAUCGAAAGAUCCAGUAUACAGCCUGACACCUGCCCGGUGCUGGAAGGUUAAGAGGAGAUGUCAUCGAUGAGAGAAGCGUUGAAUUGAAGCCCCAGUAAACGGCGGCCGUAACUAUAACGGUCCUAAGGUAGCGAAAUUCCUUGUCGGGUAAGUUCCGACCUGCACGAAUGGUGUAAUGAUCUGGACGCUGUCUCAACCGUGAGCUCAGUGAAAUUGUAGUAUCGGUGAAGAUGCCGAUUACCCGCGAUGGGACGAAAAGACCCCGUGAACCUUUACUAUAGCUUAUCAUUGAAUCUGGGCACGUGAUGUGUAGGAUAGGUCGGAGGCUUUGAAGCAGGUACGCCAGUAUUUGUGGAGCCGCUGUUGAAAUACGACCCUUUAUUUGUUUGGAUUCUAACCCGUGGAACGGGGACAUUGAUUGGUGGGUAGUUUGACUGGGGUGGUCGCCUCCAAAAGCGUAACGGAGGCUUCUAAAGGUGCCCUCCGGCCGAUUGGUAACCGGCCUUAGAGUGUAAUGGCAUAAGGGCGCUUGACUGGGAGACUGACAAGUCGAUCAGGUAGG